UUUUGGUUAAGUACGACGGGUCGUUACCAGAUCUUUUUCGGGAAGGGCAUUCCGUUGUAGUAGAAGGGUUUAUAAAGCCAUUUACUGAAGAGAUGAAGAAGAAAGAAAACGAAAUCUUGAGCGAGAAGAAGUUACAACUAACUGAGAAGGCGAGAAGUGGGGACUGUUAUUUUGCAGCUACUGAAGUGUUGGCUAAACACGAUGAGAAGUAUAUGCCUCCUGAAGUUGCAGCUGCGCUUGAAAAGAAUAAACAGUUGCUUAGUCAGAUGGAAGGGAAUGAGAAAGAGGGCGAUGAUGCAGCACCUCCAGCUACAGCGAGGGCGUAAGGCUCAGCCAAUUAUAGAUUAUGGUAAAAAUUCUAAUUGAUUAUUUUCCCGAAAUGGUGGAGUUUUGUUAAAUUUCAAUUAUGACUAUACUAUUGAAGGAAGUUAGAAAAAUGAAGGGAUAUAUAGUUGGUUUACUGAGGUUAUACAAUGAAUUUUGUUGUCAUAGAAUUUAUGUCCUGUACUAACCCUGAGGAAUGGGGUUUCAGUUUUGAAAUUUUGGAAUAUUUAGUGAAUAAAUGACGGUAAUUAUAUUUUUAUGACAUCGGGGGCUUGUAAU
rnacentral:misc_RNA from 1 species